CAGAAUAGUUUAAAAUUUGAACGGUGAAAAUCGGCUGAAAAUCGUGGAAGUAGUUAAGUGCCAAAAAACGUACAAAAAUUGGCAACUGGAAUAAUAAAGAAGAAAGAGAAACAGGAACUCAAUAGUGUGGAUGCCUAAAGCAUCCACACAAUUAUAGAACUGUAAACUGUUUCUAUUCAAGUAGACAUAAACAUGUUUUAGUUGCAUACAAUGGGAUUUGAAUGAAAGAAACUGAAAUAGCUGGGUAUCAGGUUUUGGGUCCGUUGUUUAACUUUGGUGUAUUUGGGACGCUCUCCCCAGUUAGCACAGGGGAGUGUCUAGCUGAGUGUAAGCUCUUCCUUCAGGCACUCGUUUUUUAUUUUGCCUUUGUUGUUUUCGGAGUAAUCCCGGGUGGGGAUUUAGGUCCCUGUCGGGGGUAGGCUUUUCAGUGCUUUGAGUGCUGAAAGUUUGCCUUUAAAGUUGCCUCGAGCCUGGUACCCUCCAGAAGCUAGGUAGGCUAGCAUUCGAGGGUAGGUAGGACUGGGGAGAGGUUCAGUGGUAUUUUUAUUUAUUGGUUAACCCCGUUGUUAUAAAUUUUUCUCCUGUCUUUGAUGUGUGUGUUGGGGGAAGGUUCUCGUUUAUUGGUAUCGUUAGCCCUAGGGUAGCUGGCUUGUGUGCUAUUGACCGGUUUUCUUUUUCUUCUCUUUUUAAACUAUGUUUGUAAUGUCUACAUUAGAUAUUUCUGUGUUUACGGCUAACCCGUCGCUUGCCCAGCUCGAUGCCUGUAGGAAAAACGAUUUGCAUGAGGUGGCAUCAUUUUACGGGAUUGGGGUCUCCACAGUUCUGCAUAAAGCUGAGCUAAAAGCUGCUCUGGUGUCUGGCUUGGUGGAUAAGGGGAUAUUGGCCUUGCAAAUGUCUCCCAGUCCACCUGAGUUGGCUGAGCAUGGUGUAGCAUCUUAGCAUGUUCCCCUGUUGCCAGAUCAAAAUAUAGCACCAUCUGUGUCUACGCCUGUUGCUCAGGGACUGCCUGAGGACACUGCCUCAUUUUGAGCCACUCUCGAUAGAGUCUUUAUUAGGUUCAAAGCAGGAUGCUAGGCUACAAGUUCAUCUGGCUCACCUCCAGCUGGAGAGAGAGAGAAAUGCGAAAGGGAGUUUCAUCUGAAUGAGGAGCUGGAACUUAGGUGUUUACAGCCGGAGCUGGUCAGAGCCAGGGAGAUUGAGCUGAAAAACGUGAAAGCAGAGACAACUGUCAAGUUGUGACAUUUAGAACUCCAACAGGUUUCCCUUCUUCCGACUGCCUCCAUUCCACAGCCAGGGGCAGGGUUUGAUGUAGGAAAAAGGUUGGCUAGUUGAAAAAAGUUGGUUGAUGUGACACAUUGACUUCUGAAGAAAUUUUAGAUUGCACUCAUCAUCAGAAAAGUUGCCAACCCCUGCUAUAGUUUAAUUUGACUGUAUGAGAUUAAUAUUCAGUUUCUAUGUUGUCAGCUAUAAUGGCUGGACAGCCUUUAAGAAUCAAAUCAGCUUCUAAAUAAAUUGCUGGUUUUUCCUCUUGCUUUUUACUUUCUUUGAGGCUCUGGUGACUCUGGAGACUCUUGAGUCUAGAAAAGGAGCUGUUGGACAGAAAGAUGUCAACUGAGUGGGUACCAGCAGUUUUGUCCACGUGUGUAUGUCCCACUGGGAGGAGUUCCCCUGGAUAAGCUGGAGGUGGUGGCUGGGCAGAGGGAGUUCUGGGCUUCUCCGCUUAGGAACCUGCCUCUGGGCCCCAACUGCAGAUAAAUGGAAGAAAAUGGAUGGCUGUUUUGUAACAGUGCAAUGAUUCAGCUUGACUGUCUAUCUUGAGGACACCAGGAGAGACGAGCCCUCCGUCACAGAUGUGUUCAGUGAAGAAGGUCACCUGCAGGUUCAAGACCAUUGCAUCUCCAUCCCACACCCACUGCCACUGUACAUAAGGGAAGUUGAACUUUCCUCAUCCACUGCAUUUUCAUCACCUUAAUCCAUGAUAGUCAUUCAGGCUGUAAUGCCUGGACUGAGCAGGACUGCUUAAACUUGGGUUCAAAAUAAUUCAAUCUGAGACUUUGGUUUUGUUUUUUUUGUAAGGUUAUUAAAGUUUUAAAUGGUUUGACAAAUAAAUAUGAAAAUUUAAUUUGAUAAUAUUUAAAGUAUAAUUAAAUAACACAAGCAACAAUAGGGGAAUAUACUUGUUUGUCAUUACAGUGUCCAGUAUGUUGGCUAAUAAAUUUUUUUUGCAUUUGGAAAUAAAAGUUGGGCUGAAUUCAGCCGCAUUACAAAAUGUCUAAUUUUUUUUAAUCAUUUUUUAUCAUCCUUUCAUAUUGAUUAGGUGUUGCACUAGAACGCUCUUAUGUUCAAGGAUGACAAAAUGUAAUGUUAUCUAGUUUUACUAAGUUUUACUUACUGUGUACAGUCAGUAUGUUAACAUUGUUCUCACCAAUGGAUGACACAAUUACAAGUAUUACCAUGAAGGAGGAAUUGUAAUUCAACCACAUUGGAGGAUGAUGAGAAAUUAUGAGGGACAUACAAAGUGACACAAUACAAA